AGAAUCAACGCUGGCGGCGUGCCUAACACAUGCAAGUCGAACGAGAAAGUGGAGCAAUCCAUGAGUAAAGUGGCGCACGGGUGAGUAACACGUGACUAACCUACCCUUGAGUGGGGGAUAACCUAGGGAAACCUGGGCUAAUACCGCAUAAUACCGAGAGGUCAAAGGAGCAAUUCGCUUAAGGAGGGGGUCGCGGCCGAUUAGUUAGUUGGCGGGGUAAUGGCCACCAAGACUAUGAUCGGUA
rnacentral:rRNA from 1 species